GCUGGGCGCAGUGGUGCACGCCUGUAAUCUUAGCUCCAGAGGCUGAGGCAGGGGGAUCAUGAGUUCAAAGCCAGUCUCAGCAAUGAUGAGGUGCUAAGCAACUCAGUGAGACUCUGUCUCCA
rnacentral:sRNA from 1 species